GCCCUUAUAGCUCAGUUGGUAGAGCACCUGAUUUGUAAUCAGGGGGUCUCGGGUUCGAAUCCUGAUGGGGGCA
rnacentral:tRNA from 1 species